UGGGGAAUAUUGGACAAUGGGCGAAAGCCUGAUCCAGCAACGCCGCGUGAGGGAUGACGGCCUUCGGGUUGUAAACCUCUUUCAGCAGGGACGAAGCGCAAGUGACGGUACCUGCAGAAGAAGCACCGGCCAACUACGUGCCGGCAGCCGCGGUAAUACGUAGGGUGCGAGCGUUGUCCGGAAUUAUUGGGCGUAAAGGGCUCGUAGGCGGUUUGUCGCGUCAGGAGUGAAAACUCGGGGCUUAACUCCGAGCCUGCUUCUGAUACGGGCAGACUAGAGGUAUGCAGGGGAGAACGGAAUUCCUGGUGUAGCGGUGAAAUGCGCAGAUAUCAGGAGGAACACCGGUGGCGAAGGCGGUUCUCUGGGCAUUACCUGACGCUGAGGAGCGAAAGUGUGGGGAGCGAACAGGAUUAGAUACCCUGGUAGUCCACACCGUAAACGUUGGGCGCUAGGUGUGGGACUCAUUCCACGAGUUCCGUGCCGCAGGCUAACGCAUUAAGCCG
rnacentral:rRNA from 1 species